AGAGUUUGAUCCUGGCUCAGGACGAACGCUGGCGGCGUGCUUAACACAUGCAAGUCGAGCGGACAUUGGGAGCUUGCUCCUAAUGUUAGCGGCGGACGGGUGAGUAACACGUGGGUAAUCUGCCCUCAAGUGGGGAAUAACACAGAGAAAUCUGUGCUAAUACCGCAUAACAUAUACUGGUUGCAUGAUUGGUAUAGAAAAGAUUUAUCGCUUGAGGAUGAGCCCGCGGCCCAUUAGCUAGUUGGUGAGGUAAAGGCCCACCAAGGCCACGAUGGGUAGCCGACCUGAGAGGGUGAUCGGCCACAUUGGAACUGAGACACGGUCCAGACUCCUACGGGAGGCAGCAGUGGGGAAUAUUGCACAAUGGGGGAAACCCUGAUGCAGCAACGCCGCGUGAGUGACGAAGGCCUUCGGGUUGUAAAGCUCUGUCUUCGCUGACGAUAAUGACGGUAAGCGAGGAGGAAACCACGGCUAACUACGUGCCAGCAGCCGCGGUAAUACGUAGGUGGCAAGCGUUGUCCGGAAUUAUUGGGCGUAAAGGGUGCGUAGGCGGUUUUUUAAGUGGGAUGUGAAAUACCUGGGCUUAACUCAGGAACUGCAUUCCAAACUGGAAGACUAGAGUGCAGGAGAGGAAAGUGGAAUUCCCAGUGUAGCGGUGAAAUGCGUAGAGAUUGGGAGGAACACCAGUGGCGAAGGCGACUUUCUGGACUGUAACUGACGCUGAGGCACGAAAGCGUGGGGAGCAAACAGGAUUAGAUACCCUGGUAGUCCACGCUGUAAACUAUGAGUACUAGGUGUGGGGGGCGAAGCCCUCUGUGCCGCAGUUAACACAAUAAGUACUCCGCCUGGGAAGUACGAUCGCAAGAUUAAAACUCAAAGGAAUUGACGG
rnacentral:rRNA from 1 species